rnacentral:rRNA from 1 species
CCCCUAGAUGUUCUGGGCUGCACGCGCGCUACACUGAUGCAUCCAACAAGUUUUUUCCUUGUUCGAGAGGACUAGGUAAUCUUAUGAGAAUGCAUCGUGAUGGGGAUAGAUUAUUGCAAUUAUUAAUCUUCAACGAGGAAUUCCUAGUAAGCGCGAGUCAUCAGCUCGUGCUGAUUACGUCCCUGCCCUUUGUACACACCGCCCGUCGCUGCAACUGAUUGGGUGACCUGGUGAACAUCUUGGACCGGCCCACUCAAUUUCGAGAGGACUGGAAAAGGCCGUAAAUCAGGUACAUCUAGAAAUUGCAAAAGUCGUAACA